GCAUGUGGUUUAAUUCGAUGCAACGCGAAGAACCUUACCUACUCUUGACAUCCAGAGAAUUUGCUAGAGAUAGCUUAGUGCCUUCGGGAACUCUGAGACAGGUGCUGCAUGGCUGUCGUCAGCUCGUGUUGUGAAAUGUUGGGUUAAGUCCCGCAACGAGCGCAACCCUUAUCCUUUGUUGCCAGCGAGUCAUGUCGGGAACUCAAAGGAGACUGCCGGUGAUAAACCGGAGGAAGGUGGGGAUGACGUCAAGUCAUCAUGGCCCUUACGAGUAGGGCUACACACGUGCUACAAUGGCAUAUACAAAGAGAAGCGAACUCGCGAGAGCAAGCGGACCUCAUAAAGUAUGUCGUAGUCCGGAUUGGAGUCUGCAACUCGACUCCAUGAAGUCGGAAUCGCUAGUAAUCGUAGAUCAGAAUGCUACGGUGAAUACGUUCCCGGGCCUUGUACACACC
rnacentral:rRNA from 1 species